AUGACCCAUGAGGACAAUUGCCUUUUUUGCAGUGACCUUUGCACAUGACCCUGCAUACAUUAGACAGGUGACGUAUACAAAUGAGAGGAAGCAGCUAGCCUGAUUGCUGAGAUUCUGCUGUGUGCUUUGCUUGUGCUUGCUUUUUCUGCUCCUUGGCUAAAGGUAGCCAAAAUAAAAGUUGCAUAACUUGAAUACAUCAUACCGUGGCCUGACAAAGACAUUUAUUUGGGUAUAUUAAGACUAAUUAAUAGACCUCAUCUUACCUACCUUUCCAUUUAUAGAUAGUGUUUUUCUUUGCUCCUUUAAUGAAUGACUUGAACUGAGAGCAUGACGACUGAGAGUUGAGUCUGACCUGAAGCUCAGAUCAGACCGUUGCAGCUGAGAGCUGAAUUUCAUCCUCUGUGUGACUGAACAUUCCUUCUGCGUUGGUGUUGCUGGCUGAUAUUAAAAAACCAGAAGUAACAAUUUUUAACGGUUCACAGUAACCUUUUCCUGAAAGUCAUUCUUGCAGUUUUGCCUGGGUGUUGAACCAGAAUUAUAACUGAGCAUGAGGAGCAGCCAGCGUGCAGGGGUUGGCCCUGGUUAUGGUCCUAGCUACGUUGAUGUUAGGAUUUUGUUCUCAUGAUAUUCUGUGAAUACUCCGAAGGUGUUCAAUAGUCUCCUCUGCCUCUCAGUGGCUGCCAGUCACACUGCACUGUGCUAUGUCACAUCUGUAGAGCCAAUAGGAACUCACACAGCAAGCAAGACCUCUUGGUGUACAAGUACCCACCCUCCCCACCCCGCCCCGCCCCCCAUGACAGACUAAGAAGGACAGUUGUGGUUAAACUGGAAAAGGAACAACAUCUUAAAACAAAAUUUACCAUCAAUUAGGAAAAUCUUUGUAAAAUUGUGUUGAUUUGUUGUGUUUCAUCAGGUUUUUGAAGGUCAUGCCCAUUCCUAGUUCACACUUCUACAUAUUCCUGACAGUUCCACAUGCAUGUUAUUGAACUAAUAAUCUAUUAAUACCUAUGUGCUAACAUAUAUCAAGAAAUCUAAGAUUUCUGAGACUAUUUUUAACUUCACCUUUAUUAAAAAUUGUACUUUUCUUUUAUUAUUCACUGAUGGAAGAAUUUUCCCUCUGAAAGGUGGACACUGUUUUGAAGCAUUUUUCUUAAUGCAUGGCACAGGGUUUUAUUCCAGGUGCAGUUUGGUUUGCUUUUGUGUUCUGAGUCAUGUCUGGCCUGAAGAAAAAUGACCACUUGAAUUCAAGUUCUGGUAGUUCUUUAAAUUCCUAACGUAGUUACACACAUGUUGUUUACAGUGUACAUGUGGAGAUAAUAUUUUAGUUUUGGUGUUAAUGUGGCUUUUUGUGAUUUCUCAAAGCCAGCUACCUGUGAACCUUCACAUGUAAUAUUUAAUGUCAUAUUUGUAUGAAACAAAUGGUCAUGUACAGUAAAUCAGCGGCCAUGUACUAAGUGAAAUUUGUCUGCGUCCUAAGUUUAAUCGAUUCAACACAUUUCUCCAAAGAGCGUAAACAAUAACAGCACCAUUUAAUGUUUGUUUACUGAUGGAUUAACUGGGUUUGAGGAAGAUCAGGUGGAAAACUAGGUGUCAGUCCUUAAUGCCAGCAAACAGAAUUGGACCAUUGAGGCCUGUCAGAACCACAGAUGUCAUUCUCUGUUGGAACAAGUUUAACAUUUUUUGUUUUAGUCGCAUUUUUCUGUUUAUCUUUUAUUUGUAUUUUUUAUGUCAGAAAGAAGAAAAAACUCACCUUAGACUUUAUCUACAUUUGAGAAAAAACGGUGAAAAGAACCUUCAAUCUGGUUCAGGUCAGACUGGUCAAACGUCACUGGUGAGCAUAUUUAUUCCUACAAGAAAGUUCACCUUUAAAAGGAUAGGUCAUAUAUGUCCUACUGAGUUCCUUAAAAACAGUGACACCCAGUUCAAAUGAUUCAAGUUUAACCACUGUGUUAAUAGUUAUACUAGUAUUAGGCUGUAACUUACCAUAACAUUUGCUCAUGGAAAAUUCCUUCUCUUUUGAUUUCUGUCAACCUUUAGCUGUGGUUUAGGCCAGGCUUUUCAAAACUCUGCUCAUGUUGUUGCCAGUGAUGGAAGGAACUGCAGCAGCAGGAACUGUAACUUAAUAACAAAGGUAGAGUUGAGAUUUCAGACCUGUUCUUCCUGACUCACUGUGGUAAACCAAUUCAUAACUUAAAUUCACAUUUACGUACAAGAUUUCAGCAAACAAUUAUACAGUAAAGUGUUUUAAUGUUCCUGUGAUAUGAUGGCACAAAUAUUGGCCCUAGUUUUCACAUUGGAAAUUUGCUACAGCAAUUUGGAAUGUAGAAAGUAUAACCUCUUUGUAGCUGCUGCUGAGAUCGACCACUUCCUGUUGUUGUGGCAAACACUGAACACUUUUCUUGCCAGUACCUUCUUCAAAGAAGCACAAUUCAAACAACUAAAUUCAAAUUUGUUUUUCUCUUUAGGGGUCGUCUAUAAAAUACGUUAUUCCAGUUUAUUUUUGUGUUGAAAACAGGAAUUCACAAGUUCAUCAUUCAAGUUGACAAACUAGCAUUUUCCUUUUGACAUCUGGCCAUUUGUAAACCCCUCACUCCUUUAGUGAGUUCAUGUCAUAUUUAAUAAAGCAUUGUCUAUACCUAAA